GUCUGGUGGGCAGUUUGACUGGGGCGGUCGCCUCCUAAAGAGUAACGGAGGCGCACAAAGGUAAACUCAAACUGGCAGAAAAUCAGUUGUAGAGCGUAAUGGUAAAAGUUUGCUUGACUGUGAGACAGACAUGUCAAACAGAAACUGCUAAUAAGCGGUUGGUCAUAGUGAUCCGGUGAUUUUGCGUGGAAAAGUCAUCGCUCAACGGAUAAAAGGUACGCCGGGGAUAACAGGCUGAUGAUGCCCAAGAGUCCAUAUCGACGGCAUCGUUUGGCACCUCGAUGUCGGCUCAUCUCAUCCUGGGGCUGGAGCAGGUCCCAAGGGUACGGCUGUUCGCCGUUUAAAGAGGUACGUGAGCUGGGUUUAGAACGUUGUGAAACAGUUUGGUCCCUAUCUGCCGUAGACGUUAGAAAAUUGAAAGAGGCUGACCCUAGUACGAGAGGACCGGGGAAGACUAACCUCUGGUGUAUCGGUUGUUUUGCCAAAAGCAUUGCCGAGUAGCUACGUUAGGUCGAAAGAAUUGCUGAAAGCAAAUAAGCAAGAAAUUGUUCUUGAGAUAAAUUUUCUAUAUAAGAACUGUAGAAGACUACUACGUUAAUAGGUUG
rnacentral:rRNA from 14 species